rnacentral:rRNA from 1 species
UACGUAGAUGGCAAGCGUUGUCCGGAUUUAUUGGGUUUAAAGGGUGCGUAGGCGGCCCUGUAAGUCAGUGGUGAAAUACUCCAGCUUAACUGGAGGGGUGCCAUUGAUACUGCAAAGCUUGAGUGGAGUCGAAGUAGGCGGAAUUGACGAUGUAGCGGUGAAAUGCUUAGAUAUCGUCAAGAACACCGAUAGUGAAGACAGCUUACUAGGCUUCUACUGACGCUGAAGCACGAAAGUAUGGGGAUCAAACAGG